GCCUGAGCCGGGCUGGGGCUCCCCAAACAGAGUGAUUGAGGGCGGCCGCCUCCACGCAGGUUCCCUCCUGGUUCUCGUGUCUCCCGGAAUCGUUCUCCGCUCAGCCCGUGGAUCUGUGCAUACGCUCGGACUGGAUCCCAUCCUCACUCCCUUGUACAACUGGAAAACUCCUAUUCAUCCAUCAGUGCAUCUGCCGAGCUCAGCUUUGUAAUGGAGAAUGAGCAGAGCUUCGAGAAGUCUCAACCCAGGGCCAUCCUGCUUGGUCUUCAAAGGAAGCACAUUCUAACUUGGCUGAGAGUUCUACGCCCCAGGACAUGGGAAUUAACACCGAAUGCAGUCCAUCCUCCUUUUCCAAGAACUGUACAAUCUGGUCCUAGAGGUGCCUGCUCUUUGCAACACCCCCCCACCACCCCCACCAAGCUCACAUUGCCUGUAACCUAUAACCGUUAUACCUCACCUACUUCCCCGCGCCUGUAAUUCCUGCCUUCCCAUGUAAUCUUUUGUCCUUCUACCCAAUAUAGGCAGCUGGUUUAUGGGGAGGAGUAGAGCAGAUUUUUGUGGGUGACCCGCUGUUCUUGCAUACUGCUGGCACUAUUGGAAUAAAUGCUCGA